rnacentral:rRNA from 1 species
AUUGAAACUUCGGUCGAUUUAAUUUAAUUCUAGUGGCGGACGGGUGAGUAACGCGUGGGUAACCUGCCUUAUACAGGGGGAUAACAGUCAGAAAUGGCUGCUAAUACCGCAUAAGCGCACAGAGCUGCAUGGCUCAGUGUGAAAAACUCCGGUGGUAUAAGAUGGACCCGCGUUGGAUUAGCUUGUUGGUGGGGUAACGGCCCACCAAGGCGACGAUCCAUAGCCGGCCUGAGAGGGUGAACGGCCACAUUGGGACUGAGACACGGCCCAGACUCCUACGGGAGGCAGCAGUGGGGAAUAUUGCACAAUGGGGGAAACCCUGAUGCAGCGACGCCGCGUGAAGGAAGAAGUAUCUCGGUAUGUAAACUUCUAUCAGCAGGGAAGAUAGUGACGGUACCUGACUAAGAAGCCCCGGCUAACUACGUGCCAGCAGCCGCGGUAAUACGUAGGGGGCAAGCGUUAUCCGGAUUUACUGGGUGUAAAGGGAGCGUAGACGGUGUGGCAAGUCUGAUGUGAAAGGCAUGGGCUCAACCUGUGGACUGCAUUGGAAACUGUCAUACUUGAGUGCCGGAGGGGUAAGCGGAAUUCCUAGUGUAGCGGUGAAAUGCGUAGAUAUUAGGAGGAACACCAGUGGCGAAGGCGGCUUACUGGACGGUAACUGACGUUGAGGCUCGAAAGCGUGGGGAGCAAACAGG